AAGUCGUAACAAGGUUUCCGUAGGUGAACCUGCGGAAGGAUCAUUAACAAAAUACUAUGUGUGUCUUUGUAGUCUCGGCAACGAGGCUGCACUGCACAUAUACUAAAACCAAAAUUUACCCAUCUGUGCAACAACAAAAACAAAACAAGAAGAGAGGCAAAUUACUGCGUGCCUGCGUUGAUGCGUUCGCGCCUGUUAACGUAAGUGUUGUUUUCUCUUCUCAAUUGACCAAUUCCACAAACUAUUAUUAACUUUAUUAACCAACCAUUACCGUAACGUUUUCCAGUGUUGAUUCGUUCGCACUUUGGGACGUACUAAACCAACAGCAUGUACCUACUUUUUGAGGUCAUGCACCAUUACUAUUCAUAAAAAAUAGAGAAAUACAACUCUUAACAAUGGAUAUCUUGGCUCUC
rnacentral:misc_RNA from 1 species